AGCGAACGCUGGCGGCAGGCCUAACACAUGCAAGUCGAACGAAGUCUUCGGACUUAGUGGCGGACGGGUGAGUAACACGUGGGAACGUGCCUGUAGGGUCGGAAUAAUUAAGGGAAACUUGUGAUAAUACCGAAUGUGCCCUUAGGGGGAAAGAUUUAUCGCCUUUAGAGCGGCCCGCGUCUGAUUAGCUAGUUGGUGAGGUAAAGGCUCACCAAGGCGACGAUCAGUAGCUGGUCUGAGAGGAUGAUCAGCCACAUUGGGACUGAGACACGGCCCAAACUCCUACGGGAGGCAGCAGUGGGGAAUCUUGCGCAAUGGGCGAAAGCCUGACGCAGCCAUGCCGCGUGAAUGAUGAAGGUCUUAGGAUUGUAAAAUUCUUUCACCGGGGACGAUAAUGACGGUACCCGGAGAAGAAGCCCCGGCUAACUUCGUGCCAGCAGCCGCCGUAACAC
rnacentral:rRNA from 1 species